UGAGUUCGUUCGGGAGAAUGUUCCUGCAGUUUGGACUUUGUGGAGCUCUGUCAGCGUCUCCAGCUGCUGUGAAAACUCUCCCAUCAGAGCGCUGACUGCCAGAGCUUCUGCAACACUGCCGCCUGCUGCUGACUGGCAGCUCUGCAGCUCACACUGGGUUUCUGCUCUCACGUCACACUGACGUUUCUGGAUUUGGAUUUGAAAGUAUGAGGAUGUGACGGCUGUCGGUCAGAUGAACACAGACACCAGCAGCGUCUGUCAGCGUCUGCAGACGAAGAUAGAAAGUCUCUUUGACCUCAUCUGGACGUGACUUUAACAGGAAGCCACGAUGACGCCAGAGGACCUUUUGAACACUCUGGAAAAUUUAAAGAAGGAGGAAUUCACAAAGUUCAAAUGGUUUCUGCAGCAGCCGGACAUCCUGGAAGGCUACCAACCCAUCAAAGUGUCCGAGCUGGAGGAGGCAGACAGGUUGAAAACAGUGAAUCUGAUGGUGAACACCUAUAAACUUCAUGGAGCUCUGAAGGUGACCAAGAAGGUUUUAGAGAAGGUACCCAGGAACGAUCUGGUGCAGAGUCUGUCAGACACCAGCUCAGGACCAGAAGGUCAGUCACAGUUUUUUUUGUACAACU